UACGUAGGUGGCAAGCGUUGUCCGGAAUUAUUGGGCGUAAAGCGCGCGCAGGCGGUCCUUUAAGUCUGAUGUGAAAGCCCACGGCUCAACCGUGGAGGGUCAUUCGAUACUGAUCGACUCGAAGGCAGGAGAGGGUAGUGGAAUUCCCGGUGUAGUGGUGAAAUGCGUAGAUAUCGGGAGGAACACCAGUGGCGAAGGCGACUACCUGGCCUGUUCUUGACGCUGAGGCGCGAAAGCUAGGGGAGCAAACGGG
rnacentral:rRNA from 1 species